rnacentral:misc_RNA from 1 species
AAGUCGUAACAAGGUUUCCGUAGGUGAACCUGCGGAAGGAUCAUUACCAAACGUGACACCCAGUGUCGCCAACAGUACCCGAGCAGACCUGGUGCGGUUCCGCGCCAAGUCAGGGCCGGGCUGCUCACCGCAGCCGGGCCAGCGCCGUCCCCUGCUCCUCGCGGAGCCGGAGCUCAGUCCCCCGUGGACGAAAGGACGGACCCGGUGCUUUCGCAUCAAACCCUGUGCUUGAAAAGGAACACUAACAGCAGUACAACUGCAAACGGUGGAUCACUCGGCUC